rnacentral:tRNA from 1 species
AGAAACUUAGGUUACUUAAACCGAAGGCCUUCAAAGCCUUAGACAAGAGCUCCUCCCUCUUAGUUUCUG